rnacentral:sRNA from 1 species
GAAUCCCUGUGAGUCUGACGGCCACGGCCUCACCCAGGCCGUUCUUCCCUGCAGCAUCCCCACGCCCCCUGCGGGCAGGGACGGAGGGCUGACUCCACUCCCGAGUGCCAGGAGGCUACACGGGCUGGUCUUGGGAUUGGUGCCCAUCCUGAGGGUGAAGAGAGGCCCCUGGACAGAGGACUGGAACCUUGCUCCCAGCAGGCUCAGAUGCCAGUGGGCAAUAGGAGUGCUGGAGCUCCGGGUGCUGGCCACCAACUUCAGAGACUAUGCCAUCAUCUUCACUCAGCUGGAGUUCGGGGACGAGCCCUUCAACACCGUGGAGCUGUACAGUCGGAUGGAGACAGCCAGCCAGGAGGCCAUGGGGCUCUUCACCAAGUGGAGCAGGAGCCUGGGCUUCCUGUCACAGCAGCAGGCCCAGCUGCAGAAGGAUCUCACCUGUGCUCACAAGAUCCUUCUGUGAGUGCUGCGCCCCCAGUAGGGAUGGCGCCCGCAGGGUCCUGUGACCUCGGCCAGUGUCCACCCACCUCGCUC